GUCGCGAUGGCCGAGUGGUUAGGGCGAUGGACUUGAAAUCCAUUGGGGUAUCCCCGCGUAGGUUCAAAUCCUGCUCGCGACG
rfam:Hydatigera taeniaeformis genome assembly, scaffold: TTAC_scaffold0000670